GAGUUUGAUCAUGGCUCAGGAUGAACGCUAGCGGCAGGCUUAAUACAUGCAAGUCGAGGGGCAGCAGCUUUAUAGCAAUAUAGAGGCUGGCGACCGGCAAACGGGUGCGGAACACGUACACAACCUUCCUUGAAUAGGGGGAUAGCCCAUAGAAAUGUGGAUUAAUACCCCGUAAUAUAGCGGUGUGGCAUCACACUGUUAUUAUAGUUUCGGCGAUUCGAGAUGGGUGUGCGGCUGAUUAGGUAGUUGGCGGGGUAAAGGCCCACCAAGCCUUCGACCAGUAGCUGAUGUGAGAGCAUGAUCAGCCACACGGGCACUGAGACACGGGCCCGACUCCUACGGGAGGCAGCAGUAAGGAAUAUUGGUCAAUGGAYGCAAGUCUGAACCAGCCAUGCCGCGUGAAGGAUGAAGGUCCUCUGGAUUGUAAACUUCUUUUAUAGGGGGCGAAWAAAGGUCUUUCUAGAUCACUUGACAGUACCCUAUGAAUAAGCACCGGCUAACUCCGUGCCAGCAGCCGCGGUAAUACGGASGGUGYAA
rnacentral:rRNA from 1 species